rnacentral:rRNA from 1 species
AACCUUUACACCGCACGACAGUGCGAUAGGGGGACUCCGAGUGUGAGGGCAUAUAGCCCUCGCUUUUCUGUACCGUAAGGUGGUACAGGAACAAGGACUGGGCAAGACCGGUGCCAGCCGCCGCGGUAAUACCGGCAGUCCGAGUGAUGGCCGAUAUUAUUGGGCCUAAAGCGUCCGUAGCUUGCUGUGUAAGUCCAUUGGGAAAUCGACCAGCUCAACUGGUCGGCGUCCGGUGGAAACUACACAGCUUGGGGCCGAGAGACUCAACGGGUACGUCCGGGGUAGGAGUGAAAUCCUGUAAUCCUGGACGGACCACCAAUGGGGAAACCACGUUGAGAGACCGGACCCGACAGUGAGGGACGAAAGCCAGGGUCUCGAACCGGAUUAGAUACCCGGGUAGUCCUGGCUGUAAACAAUGCUCGCUAGGUAUGUCACGCGCCAUGAGCACGUGAUGUGCCGUAGUGAAGACGAUAAGCGAGCCGCCUGGGAAGUACGUCCGCAAGGAUGAAACUUAA